rnacentral:rRNA from 1 species
UACGUAGGAGGCGAGCGUUGUCCGGAGUUACUGGGCGUAAAGGGUGCGUAGGCGGCCGCGCGCGUGGCGGGUGAAAUCUCCCGGCUUACCCGGGAGGGGGCUUGCCAGACGGCGCGGCUUGAGGGACGGAGAGGGGCGUGGAAUUCCGGGUGGAGCGGUGAAAUGCGUAGAGAUCCGGAGGAACACCGACGGCGUAGGCAGCGCCCUGGCCGUGCAAUAACCCUGACGCUGAAGCACGAAAGCUGGGGGAGCGAACAGG